rnacentral:rRNA from 1 species
UACGGGGGGGGCGAGCGUUGUUCGGAAUUACUGGGCGUAAAGGGCUCGUAGGCGGCCAACUAAGUCAGACGUGAAAUCCCUCGGCUUAACCGGGGAACUGCAUCUGAUACUGGAUGGCUUGAGAUUGGGAGAGGGAUGCGGAAUUCCAGGUGUAGCGGUGAAAUGCGUAGAUAUCUGGAGGAACACCGGUGGCGAAGGCGGCAUCCUGGACCAACACUGACGCUGAGGAGCGAAAGCCAGGGGAGCAAACGGG